AGAUUGAACGCUGGCGGCAUGCCUUACACAUGCAAGUCGAACGGCAGCAUGAUGUGUAGCAAUACACGUUGAUGGCGAGUGGCGAACGGGUGAGUAAUAUAUCGGAACGUGUCCUGUAGCGGGGGAUAACCUAUCGAAAGAUGGACUAAUACCGCAUACGCUCUACGGAGGAAAGCGGGGGUCGCAAGACCUCGCACUAUAGGAGCGGCCGAUAUCGGAUUAGCUAGUUGGCGGGGUAAAAGCCCACCAAGGCGACGAUCCGUAGCUGGUCUGAGAGGAUGAUCAGCCACACUGGAACUGAGACACGGUCCAGACUCCUACGGGAGGCAGCAGUGGGGAAUUUUGGACAAUGGGCGCAAGCCUGAUCCAGCCAUGCCGCGUGAGUGAAGAAGGCCUUCGGGUUGUAAAGCUACUUUCGGCAGGACGAAUGGUCGUGUAAUACAGACUGAUGACGUACCUGAAGAAGAAGCACGGCUAACUACG
rnacentral:rRNA from 1 species